AUUCCUGAAUGCGUUCAUUUGAUGUGAUCUCAACGGGAUGUAGCCAAAACACAAGCAAUUGAGAUUGUAUUAUCAUAUAAUUCUGUAAUAAAAUCCAAACAAACCCAUGAGUUUAUUGCAUCAACUAUUUCUUUUUAGUAUAAUAACUAUUGUUCAACUCAUUGAUAGAUAUUAACCUCAAUAUUAUCACCUACAGCUGUUGAUGAGGAGAAUCAAAGACCAAGAAUGAAGAAGAUCUGUUUUUAGAUGAAUCUGUUUUCAAUAAUGAAGAAGCUUUGUUUUAGAUCAAUACGUUGCUCUGUUUUACAU
rnacentral:lncRNA from 1 species